rnacentral:rRNA from 1 species
UACGUAGGGGGCUAGCGUUGUCCGGAAUCAUUGGGCGUAAAGCGCGUGUAGGCGGUUCGGUAAGUCCGCUGUGAAAGUCGGGGGCUCAACCCUCGAAUGCCGGUGGAUACUGUCGGACUAGAGUACGGAAGAGGCGAGUGGAAUUCCUGGUGUAGCGGUGAAAUGCGCAGAUAUCAGGAAGAACACCCGUGGCGAAGGCGGCUCUCUGGGACGGUAUUGACGCUCAUGCACGAAAGCGUGGGGAGCAAACAGG